rnacentral:rRNA from 1 species
CAGAUUGAACGCUGGCGGCAUGCCUUACACAUGCAAGUCGAACGGCAGCACGGGAGCAAUCCUGGUGGCGAGUGGCGAACGGGUGAGUAAUAUAUCGGAACAUGCCUAGUAGUGGGGGAUAACGUACCGAAAGGUACGCUAAUACCGCAUACGUCCUACGGGAGAAAGGGGGGGAUCGCAAGACCUCUCGCUAUUAGAGUGGCCGAUAUCGGAUUAGCUAGUUGGUGAGGUAAAGGCUCACCAAGGCGACGAUCCGUAGCUGGUCUGAGAGGACGACCAGCCACACUGGGACUGAGACACGGCCCAGACUCCUACGGGAGGCAGCAGUGGGGAAUUUUGGACAAUGGGGGAAACCCUGAUCCAGCCAUGCCGCGUGUGCGAAGAAGGCCUUCGGGUUGUAAAGCACUUUUGUCAGGAACGAAAAGUUUUACCCUAAUACGGUGAGACGAUGACGGUACCUGAAGAAUAAGCACCGGCUAACUACGUGCCAGCAGCCGCGGUAAUACGUAGGGUGCAAGCGUUAAUCGGAAUUACUGGGCGUAAGGCGUGCGCAGGCGGUUGUGUAAGACAGAUGUGAAAUCCCCGGGCUCAACCUGGGAACUGCAUUUGUGACUGCACGGCUAGAGUGUGUCAGAGGGGGGUGGAAUUCCACGUGUAGCAGUGAAAUGCGUAGAUAUGUGGAGGA